AGAGGGUGCUAGCGUUGUUCGGAAUUAUUGGGCGUAAAGCGCGUGUAGGCGGCCGGCCAAGUCGGAUGUGAAAGCCCUCGGCUCAACCGAGGAAGUGCGUUCGAUACUAGCUGGCUCGAGUACCGGAGAGGGUGGUGGAAUUCCCGGUGUAGAGGUGAAAUUCGUAGAUAUCGGGAGGAACACCAGUGGCGAAGGCGACCACCUGGACGGAUACUGGCGCUGAGACGCGAAAGCGUGGGGAGCAAACAGGAUUAGAUACCCUGGUAGUCCACGCUGUAAACGAUGAGCGCUAGGUGUUGCGGGUGUUGACCCCUGCAGUGCCGAAGCUAACGCAUUAAGCGCUCCGCCUGGGAAGUACGGCCGCAAGGCUA
rnacentral:rRNA from 1 species